GGGCCAAUGGUCUAGUGGUACGAUUCUCCCUUCGGGUGGGAGAGGUCCCGGGUUCAAUCCCCGGUUGGCCCC
rnacentral:tRNA from 1 species